rnacentral:tRNA from 1 species
UGCGGACUGGUGUAACGGCAGCACAGCAGCCUUUGGAGCUGUCAGGUCAUGGUUCGAAUCCAUGGUCCGCAA